GAGUUUCCACAGCAGCACUACAAACUACUGUUACAACAGCAGAAUCCUCCACCACAGCUACAACAACAGCAGUGCCCUCAACAACCCUUACAACUGUUGCUGAAUCAUCCACCACUACUGCAGGAGUUACCAGAACAGCACAACAAUCUACAGUUACAACAGCAGAAUCCUCCACAACAGCAACAACAACAGCAGCAGUGCCCUCAACAACCACUACCACUACAACUUUUGCUGAAUCAUCCACUACUACCGCAGGAGUUACCACAACAGCACCACAAAUUACUGUUACAACAGCAGAAUCCUCCACAACAGCUAGAACAACAGCAGCAACAUCUGAAACACCAGCAACUUCAUCGCCAACAGGUUCAGCCACAGUCUUUACAUCUAUUAUUGGUACAUCCACCAGUGGUACAGCAAUAACCGCAAUAGUGACACAAUCUAAAGUUACUACAGAGUCUACAGCAUCUAACACUUCUACAGAACCUGCAGUGUCUACAGCUGCUAUAGCUUCUACUGUAUCUACAGCUUCAACAGCAUCUACAGCAUCAACAGCAUCUACAACCUCUACAGCAUCUACAGCCUCUACAACAUCUACAACCUCUACAGCAUCUACAACCUCUACAGCAUCUACAAUCUCUAAAGCAUCUACAACCUCUACAGCAUCUACAACCUCUACAGCAUCUACAACUUCCAAAGCAACUACUGCAAAAAUAAUACCUGAAGUGCUAACAGAUCUAGUGUUUAGCUCUUUUGAGACAUUUAUAGAUGCACUCAGUGAUGUCAACAGUGAGGAGUUUAAGAUUAGGUCUAAACUUGUCAAGGAUGAGCUUGAGCCUGUCUACAAAAUCAAGUAUUCUAACUUCCUCAGACUGAAUGUCCUAAGAUUCAGAUCAGGGUCAAUCAUCACAUCAACACAACUAGCUUUCAGCUUCAACCAAACUAUCCCAUCUGUUCAAGAGAUUUCAAACACCCUCUUGGAAGCAGUGGGAACAGGGGAUGUCAAUCCAUUAAAGAUAAUCCCUGAAUCAAUUUCAGUCAAUGGUUCAGCUACAACUGUUGCUCCUGCAACAACUACAACAACCACCACAGCAACUACAGUUUCAGGCGGAUUAAAGAUUGAAUCCAGUCUGUUCCAAGCAAUAUGCCUCAUUAUUAUGUCUAAAAUAUUAAGCUUUUUCCUAUAGAUCCCUUAAACAUAUCAACCAAACAUGAGAGUUCAACAAGACACACUGUAACAAAUUAAUUAAACACAAAAUGUAUUUAUUAUUAUUAUUAUUAAAUGUAUAGUAUUUCUCAUUGUAGCACAUUCUCAAAUACUAGUAUUGAGCAACAUAAAGAUAACUUUGAUAAUGCAUUUUUGCUGAAGAAUAUAACAGUAGAUAUCUGUUUAACAGCAGGCUGUUUUCUGGGAGGGAGAAGUAGAUCUUUUUCCUUAUGUAUUUCCUUUAAAUGUAAACAUUGUGAAUGUUGUUUAACUGUUUUGAGGUUAAUACUGUUUAAACUACUUAUUUUUGUUUGUCUAAGUUCUAACAUUGUAAUAUGUAAUAUUUUAAUUAAAUAAAAAUAUUUAUUAAAUGAUGUAGUCCA
ensembl:lncRNA